UGAGAAGACACAGGGAGAGAAGACACAGGGAGAAGACAGCCAUUUCCAAGCCAAGGAAAAAGCCUUGGAAAAAACUCAACCCUGCUAACAUCCUGGUUUUGAACUGCCAGCCUCCAGAGUUGUAAGAAAAUAACUUCUGUUGACUUCAUGUUGAAGCCACUCUGCAGUAUUUGUUACAACAAAAUGAAUACAGUGCCCUUCUACAUUGGUUUCCUUUUCUAUUUCUGGCAGUAGAGGCACUGAGUCAGUGACUGAAAUAAGAAAAUGUAAGAGAGAUUAAAUCCAAGAUCAGGCACCUCAAAUAUCCCCUCUCUAACCACUGUCCUUUUUAAUUCAAGAAUCAUAAAGCCAGAGCUCCCCUGCAGUGGAAAUGGCUUCAAAGGGCAGGACAGUGAUGGGCUGUAGCCAGGAGCUUGGAACUCACGCCAGGUCUCUCACAUGGUGACAAGAACCUAAUUAGCUGAGUCAUCACCUGUUGCCUCCUAGAGUCUACAACAGUACGAAGUUGGGAUUGGGAGCCAGAGAUUGGAACUGAACCAGGUAUUCCAACAUGGGACAAAAGGAUCUUAGCUUGGCAUCCUGUUAGGCCAAAUGCCCAUACCUGAUCAGUCUUGACAAACACUUCUUGCCAGAACACCUCAUUGUCUCCAACUCAUCCUCACCUCUUCUUCCAACUCUGUGCCCCCAUUGUAACUUGCUUAUUUCCUCUUCUACUUCCUAUUCUUCUAUUCCCUCUGACUUUGUCACCCUAGCCAGCUAUAUCUCAUGAUCUGAUAGUUAAGCCAUGCUUUAACUAUAAUCACAAAAUCUAUCAGCUGGUUUUUGACAUUCUUACCAUACUCUAUUUCAGUAGUUCCCAAACUCCAGCCUGGACUGGCUGCCACACUUCCCAGAUGUGCUUGUGAAAAAUACAGAGUACCCACCCAUACCUCCUUAAAAAACUUCAUAGGAAAUGGGGUCCUGGAAUUUGUCUCUUUCAUAAGCUUCUUGGGUGGUUAUGAUGCCCACCAUGGUUUGGGAAACAUGAACAGUGCUAAUUCUCAACCUGAAUAACUCAAAUGUUAAUUUUUCCCAACUCCUUAACAGUCAAGAAGUGCUAGAGAAUAUUACAAUACCAUAUGGGUUGAAUCAUUUAGGCCCCUGGACUCCUCAGUAUACCUUUCCAGUGAGUCUGCCUAGCUGCUUAAAGUAUCAUUCUUCUAAACUUUGUCUCAUUCUCAUACUAUUUUCUUUGCUCACAGCAGGACACUUGCUACUAUGUUGCUAGAAAAUAUAGACCAGUAGUUUUCAACUUUGGCUGCAGAUUAGACUCACUUUGGGAGCAUUUAAAAAUCCUGGGGUGAGGACUCCACCCUAGAGACUUUGGUUUAAUUUGGUUUAAUAGAAAUGAGUGUUUUUUUUAAAAUUCCCCAAGUGAUCACAAUGUGAUACAAUGGUAAGAACCACUGACCCAGGCCAUUUGACACUGAAUGAGGGUGUACAGCCUUAGAAGCACAAAUAUCUGAGCACAUAUACACAAUCUAAGUCAUCUCACUCUACUGCCCUCACUCCUGACUGGAUCUAGCCUUUCUCUAGUAGAGGUUGUCAUCUGGUACACACUAAGACUUGUACAGGUUUAAUGUGGCAGAAUCAUUUACUUAUCAUACAACCUACCAAGUUCAACAACACUCAAGAAGUACAGAUCUUCAUGUAUGUCACAAUUUCAUGCAAUAGCAUGAUUAUUAUAAUCCAAGCAUUUAAUCCUGUCUGCAUUUUUCACAUAUUGAACAUCCAGUCUUGAGGCAAAAGACACUCUACAAAAUCAAGGCAGCUUUCAGAAGAACAGCAGAUCAAAUCCCAAGGGCAUGUUGAAAAUGCGGGAAGAACCUAGAAAUCAUGGUGACGGGAGAGGCCAGGUGAUGAGGCUAAUGGGAGACUGAGAUGGUUAAUUUUAUGUAUCAACUUGAUGGGGCCACAGGAUGACCAGAUGGCUGGUAAAAUACUAUUUCUGAGUGUACGUCUAAGACACUUUCUAAAAGAGAUCAGCAUUUGGAUUGGUAAAUUGAGUAAAGUAUAUGGACGGCCUCAACAUGGCUGAGUAUCAUGCAAACUAUUGAGGGUCUAAAGAGGACAAAAGGAUGGAAGAAGGUUGAAUUCAUACUCAGCCUGGCUGUCAGCCCUUGGCAUUCCUGAUUCUCAAGGCUCCAGCUGCCAUAUGCACCAUGAGCUCUCAGCCCAAAGUUCUUCUAAAUAUAUCACUGGAGUUACUGGAUCUCCAGCUUACAGGUGGGAGAUCAUGGGGCUUCUCAGCCUCCACAGCUGCUAUCUUUGUUCUUAACAUUUAUUUAUUUAUUUGAAAGUCAGAGUUAGAGAGAGAGAGAGAGAGAGAGAGAGAGAGAGAGAAAUCUUCCAUGCACUGCUUCACUCCCCAAAUAGCCACAAUGGUCAGGGCUAGGCCAGGCCAAAACCAGGAACCAGGAGUUUUAUCUGGGUUUCCCAGGCACAUUAACAGGGAGUUGGAUCAGGAGUGAAGUAGCAUGGACUUGAAUCAGCUCCCAUAUGAGAUGCCGAAGUCACAGGUAGCAACUUAACCCACCAUGCUACAACACUAGCUCCACAGUUGCAUAUCUUAUAAGAAAUCUCUUCCUAGGGAUAUGUAUCUACAUCUAUAUCCUAUGGGUUCUGUUUCUCUGGAGAACCCUGACUAACAUAGAAGCCUAAGCAUAGAUUCUGAAAAUUAGGAAGUACAGGGCAGGUGCUUUAACACAGUAAUUAGUUUACCACUUGGAUACCUGCAACUCCACUUCUGAUCCAGCUUCCUACUAGUAUGCAUCCUGGGAGGCAGCAGACGAUGGUUCAAGUACUUAGGUCCUUAUUAAGAACAUAAGAGACAGAUUGAGUUCCAGGCUCCUGGCUUUUACCUGACCCAUUCCUGGCUGUUGUAGGCAUUUGGGAGUGAACCAGCAGAAGGAAGAUCAUUCUCUGUCUGCCUCUCUGCCUUCCAAAUAAAAUGAGCAAAAAGUGCUUUAAAAUUAAAAAGUACAUUUGUGUAACUCAAGAAAGUUUCUCAUUACUCUGGCACAAGCAGUGCAGCUCCCUUCCUAGUUAUAAAUACGUAAAGAUGGAUGAGAAGUUGUAAUUCCAGUUUGUGUGUGUGUGAGUGCACACAAGCUCAUUUGGAAUGAAAUUGAAGGUAACUCCUUUUUCUCAUAAUUUACAUUUUUGAAGGAAAAAACUCAUAUCUUGCAAGGAUCAUGAAACAAAUGAGAGAAAAACAACUUCACAGACCAGAAGUUACUUUCAAUAGCAUAUUUAAUGGCUCUAUAUUUCAAUUUUGUUCUAACUUCUCAAAUACAUUUUAUGAGGCUGUGCUGUUAUGUGUGAAUGAUGCUAUAACUUCAGACAAGGAUAUACAUAUCUUAUUAUGUUUUAUUUUACAUAAUUGAACCAUCUACAAUAGCAUUGUUUCAGAAAUAAAGACAAAUGAUUUAACUUUUUAAUUAAGCUUUAAAACCCCUAAUUAAAUGCCUAAAUUGCACAGAACCAUUUCAGUCUAAAUUGUCUUUAGAUUGCUGUGUGUGGAUUUUCCUACUGCAUGGUGACUGCCAGAGAAAGUAACAAAGAACUAUAAAUCAAAUCCACACUUUGUAAUUGGUGCCAUUAAUGCAUCUUUCCUUAUCCAGCAAGACAAGAAGAGAGAACAUGGAAUGCUCCAGCUCAUACCUACUGCUGUGGGGAUGAAGAUGUGGAAGAAUCCUGCAUCACCAGCUGAUGGAAAAGGAAAAAGUCUGAGCGUGGUUCACAAAUAGGUCGCUUCGGUUUAAUUAAAACCUACUACCAAAUGAGACAA